rnacentral:rRNA from 1 species
CAUAUCAAUUAAGCCGGAGGA